CUUAAGCAUAUCAAUAAGCGGAGGAAAAGAAACCAACAGGGAUUGCCCUAGUAACGGCGAGUGAAGCGGCAACAGCUCAAAUUUGAAAUCUGGCGCAAGCCCGAGUUGUAAUUUGUAGAGGAUGCUUCUGGGUAGCGACCGAUCUAAGUUCCUUGGAACAGGACGUCAUAGAGGGUGAGAAUCCCGUAUGUGACCGGCCCGCACCCUUUACGUAGCUCCUUCGACGAGUCGAGUUGUUUGGGAAUGCAGCUCUAAAUGGGAGGUAAAUUUCUUCUAAAGCUAAAUACCGGCCAGAGACCGAUAGCGCACAAGUAGAGUGAUCGAAAGAUGAAAAGUACUUUGGAAAGAGAGUUAAAAAGCACGUGAAAUUGUUGAAAGGGAAGCGCCUGCAACCAGACUUCGCGGCAGUGUUCCGCCGGUCUUCUGACCGGUUCAUUCUCUGUCGCGAGGCCAUCAUCGUCUGGGCCCGCCGGAUAAGACCUGAGGAAUGUGGCUCCCCCUCGGGGGAGUGUUAUAGCCUCUGGUGAUGCGGCGUGGCUCGGGCGAGGUCCGCGCUUCGGCAAGGAUGAUGGCGUAAUGGUUGUCGGCGGCCCGUCUUGAAACACGGACCAAGGAGUCUAACAUCUAUGCGAGUGUUCGGGUGUCAAACCCCUACGCGUAAUGAAAGUGAACGGAGGUGGGAACCGUAAGGUGCACCAUCGACCGAUCCUGAUGUCCUCGGAUGGAUUUGAGUAAGAGCAUAGCUGUUGGGACCCGAAAGAUGGUGAACUAUGCCUGAAUAGGGUGAAGCCAGAGGAAACUCUGGUGGAGGCUCGCAGCGGUUCUGACGUGCAAAUCGAUCGUCAAAUUUGGGUAUAGGGGCGAAAGACUAAUCGAACCAU
rnacentral:rRNA from 1 species